CCCUCACACUUCCUGAAGCUUUAGACAAGAACCAGUAAUCUUUAAAUUCUGUCAUGAAAUUCUAGAAGCUGCCAAUUUUUAAGGUCCCCUUGGCAUUUAUAUUUUAGGACAUAAGCACUUAGAGUUCGGAAGCUAAGUGGUAGGCCAGCAGACUCCCGCAGCAGACACAAGCAUUGCCAUUUAGAUUGACUUGUCUUAGGAUUUGUCACUGAGGCUCUCAGUGUUCCAGAAAGAAGAGAGAAAGUGGGACAGAGCAUUUGAAUUUGUUAAGCACGGUGGGAAUCCUGCCAAAGAAUGAUCUCUCAAGGACUGAAAAAUUGACACAUUAAACUGACAUGGAAAGAGCUAAAAGUGAAGACCAGGAAAAUAUAAAUCUAUAUACAUGGUAGCUCCUCAUCCCAGUAGCUAACAUCACUAACAACUUAACCAAUAUAAGGACUUAUUUAGAGAACAAAAUGGCUGAGUAUG
rnacentral:lncRNA from 1 species